UAAAAGGAUCACACACGAAUCCAACUUCCACCAUCCCGGUAAGGAAGAAGAGCAGAGAGCAAGAGGGGAAGGGAGCUCCAAGCACCCAAGGCGGACAAGAAGUGGCCCAGGAGGAACCUUCCUUGAAUUCAGAGGCUUGGUAAAAGUGGUAAAGGUUCCCCUCGCACCUAUGUGCUAGUCGUUCCCGAAUCUAAGGGAUGGUGCUCAUCUCCGUUUCAAAGCUGAAGAGCCAGCGCUGUCCGAAGAUGUCUCCGUGGUCAUGUGGCCGGCAUGACUAAACGCCAAAGGCGCACAGAACACUGUUACCUUCCUGCCAAAGGUCACCGAAUUCUCACAGACAUUAUCGUAGCUCAGGAUGAAAGCUGAACACAAGGGGGGCAGCCUUAGGACGGCUCCUGGGAGAGAAGCAACAGGACCUUUGAUCUGCAGUAGAAGAAAAGAGAUGCCAUAAAGCAUUUGGGGAGAUUAAAGGGGGCACCGCAAAACUUUAAAAAGACUCUUUUAAAAAUGGGUCUGGAAGGCCUGCGAUGAACAUUCAUGAGAUCUUCCAGUGAGAUCCGGUUCCCUUGAAUUAUGACCCUGAAGGAUACCCACCCACUACCCUGCUUGGCUCUGUAGCUUUCCCUUUGUCAUCCUAUGCCUGGGAAAUUCAGGGAGGCUGGGACGGUGAAGGGAAGCCCACAGCGCUAUAGUUCCAGCUGGAGAUGCACAAUGGUGGAGCCAGACCUACAUCUGAUCAACACGCCGUGCUACUGUAUGAAAAGUCGCCAUCUUGCCUUGCACAGUAUUGGGGGCACCCAGAAACAAUUGAAACCUCUCAGUUUGCACCAGCUUCUUACUUGUAGGGUUGACUCAGCUUUUCAUCCUUCCGAGGUUGGGUAAAGUGAGGACCCAGAUUGUUGGGGGCAAUAGGCUGACUCCAGGGGUGAAAUCCAGCAGGUUCUGACAGGUUCUGGAGAACUGUUAGCGGAAAUUUUGAGCAGUUCGGAGAACUGGCAAAAUACCACCUCUGGCUGGUCCCAGAGUUUUGUUUUUUUAAUUUGCAUUUAUAUCCCGCCCUUCUCCGAAGACUCGGGGCGGCUUACACUAUGUUAGCAAUAGUCUUCAUCCUAUUUGUAUAUUUAUAUAAAAAGUCAAUUUAUUGCCCCCAACAAUCUGGGUCCUCAUUUUACCUACCUUAUAAAGGAUGGAAGGCUGAGUCAACCUUGGGCCUGGUGGGACUAGAACCUGCAGUAAUUGCAAGCAGCUGCUGUUAAUAACAGACUGCAUUAGCAGUCUGAGCCAGCGUGGGAUGGGAAUGGAGUAUUUUGCAGUAUCCUUCCCCCAAGAGUGGGGAGGGAAAGGGGAUUUUACAGGAUCCUUUCCCUAGAGUGGGGUGGGAAUGGAGAUUUUGCAGUAUCCUUCCCCUGCCACGCCCAUCAAGCCACGGUCACAGAACUGGUAGUAAAAAAAAUUGGAUUUCACCACUGGCUGACUCUGUGAAUCGCUUAGAGAGGGCUGUAAAGCACUAUGGAGCGGUAUGUAAGUCUAAGUGGUGUUCUUUAAAAAAUUACACAUAUCAAUACCAUACCAAUUAACACCUGACCUUCAGCAGCCAGUAACUAGUACUUCAUGGUACUUCAUGGUACUACUUAAUGUGACUGAGUAUAUAAUUGUUCUUGUGUUUGUGUGUGUUUCUUUAAUACUCAUCUGAUUCACUUUCUAUUUUGGUUUUCUUUUGAUUGAAUUCGUACAUGGUCCAAUUCCUCUCGGAUUGGGGUGAGUCAUAAGAAGGCUAGAUAAACGAAUAAAUAAAUAAAAUAAGCCAGCCUCACUAGAGCUCUGUGAGAAAAAGACAAAACUGAAAUGUAAUAAAAAACGAAACAAAGCAAAAGGCCAAAGCAUGUUAUGCAAACUCAGCCUUUGUGGCUAACUUAUGAGUCAGGGUUGGAGUGGAUCUGUGAUAUUGAUUUAACUGAACAAGCUACUGUUUAAUUACAUAGGUAAAUGUUGAAUCCAAAACCACCUUUAGAAAGUUGUGUGAACAUUCACAAUCAUCUCGGAUAGAUCCAGAUAAUGGGGAAAGGUCACGACUGUGACUGAGUUUGUACAACUUCUAGGCCAUAAUCAGGGGUGGGCUUCAAAAAAUUUAGCGAGGGGUUUUCUGCCCGGUUGCUGGGUGGGCAUGGGGGGUGCAUGGGUAUUUUUUUGCCUCCCCCAGUUCCGGAGGCUUUCCUCAAGCCUCCAGGAGAGCGAAAACAGCCUCCCCAGGCUCUGGAGGCCCUCUGGAACUUCCAGUAGGUCCGUUUUUCGCCUUCCCCGAGCCUCCGCACGUGCCCUGCACUUACCUGCAUCCAAAACAAGCCGUGUUGGGACUCCUGGGAGGUGUGGGGUGGGAUGGGUGGGACCAGCCAGGAGUGGGAUUUGGGGGUUCUCCAAACUGCACAGAAUCUUAGCUAGAGGUUCUCUCGAACCCCUGAGAACUCUCAGCAGCCCACCCCUGGUCAUAAUGAAGUUUCUUUCUUUAUUGUUUAAUACAGUGGUUUGCAACCCUUUCUUCACCUGGAUCCUCUUUAAAUACAUUGUGUGGCCACGGAUCAUGGCCACAGAGCCCCAAGACUUAACUCAAGAUUUCAAUUAUAUUUCUUCAAGUCUUCGCAGACUCCCUGUGAUGACAUCACGGAUCCUCCCAGUCCCAGGGGUUCGCGGACCACAGGUUGAGAACCCCUGGUUUAGUAUGUUGUAUGAAUCUGCCAAUGUAAUUUGUAAACCUUUAAGCGCAAGCUCAAGACUUUCUUACUUCAUCGAGCAGGGCUGGCCUAAUGGGAAUUUUAAUGGGGUUUUAUAGGGUUUUUAUAAUUUUAUUCUAUUAUUUUUAACUUUUAGCCAAAUUGAAUUAGAUUUUUAGUGAUAUAUGGUUUUAAUUGCUGUGUUACUGUUUUAUUUUGGCUGUACACGCCCUGAGUCUUUGGAGAAGGGCGGUAUAAAAAUAUAAAUAAAUAAAUAAAUAAAUAAAUAAAUAAAUAAACAAACAAACCAGGAUUUCUGGUUUAAACUUGUUUUGUUUAAACUUUCCAGUUAUGGCAUAUUAAAUAAAGCCUGUUUAGUUAUACUACAA